AUNUAAAAACAUGACCUUCCUGUGCUAGACAUGAAACAUAAAUCAAAUUUCUGCUAGCAGCAGGUACAUAAUAGCAGUCUCUAAGUAAUAAACUAAAACCAGACGGUAGUCGCAGAUGGUAGAAGCCGACAGCCACAGCAGCAACUUUUGCCCCGUUGCCAAUCCGAAGGGUUAUCGCACCUUCCGCCAGCCUUCUACUUUCCUUUAGACCCUGCAUGGUAGUGCACAGAUGAGCACUAGAACCAGAAUCUAUAACCCAACUAGAAGAAGAAAAACCAUUAGAUUAGUUUCAAUUGUGAGCAAGUCUAUACCUUCUGAAGGUGUGUCAUUCUUCUUGUUCUUCAGGCUCUCGAGGUAUGAAGGACAGUUCCUCUUCCAGUGGCCGUCGACAUUGCAGUGGAAACAUUUUCCUUUGUCAUUGGCCUUUUUCUUUUGAACUUCCUUCUUUGGCUUCUUGUCUUUCUUUUGCUUCUUCGCAGGCUUCUUUUUCUUCCAAGUAAACUUUCUCUUGGAACCAGAAGUCAACUUAGCAGCAAGGACAU
rnacentral:lncRNA from 1 species